rnacentral:rRNA from 1 species
GUCUAUGGCCAUACCACCUUGAACGCGCCCAAUCUCAUCUGAUCACAGAAACAAAGCAGGGUUAGGGGUGGUUAGUACUUGGAUAGAGGAAUUAGCAUUUUAACAGGCU